GUGAGGAAUAUUGCGCAAUGGAGGCAACUCUGACGCAGCCAUGCCGCGUGCAGGAAGAAGGCGCUACGCGUUGUAAACUGCUUUUAACCGGGAAGAAACCCCAGGACGUGUCCUGGGUUGACGGUACCGGAGGAAUAAGCACCGGCUAACUUCGUGCCAGCAGCCGCGGUAAUACGAAGGGUGCAAGCGUUAUCCGGAUUCAUUGGGUUUAAAGGGUGCGUAGGCGGAGCGUUAAGUCAGUGGUGAAAUCCUGCAGCUUAACUGUAGACUUGCCAUUGAUCCUGGCGCUCUUGAGUGCGCUUGAAGUGGGCGGAAUGUGCCGUGUAGCGGUGAAAUGCUUAGAUAUGGCACAGAACACCAAUUGCGAAGGCAGCUCACUAAGGCGAUACUGACGCUGAGGCACGAAAGCGUGGGGAUCGAACAGGAUUAGAAACCCCAGUAGUCC
rnacentral:rRNA from 1 species